rnacentral:rRNA from 1 species
CGGAUUCUGGCUCAGGAUGAACGCUAGCGGCAGGCUUAACACAUGCAAGUCGAGGGGCAUCGGGAGUAGCAAUACUGCCGGCGACCGGCGCAAGGGUGCGUAACGCGUGAGCAACAUGCCCGUAUCAGGGGGAUAAUCCAUGGAAACGUGGUCUAAUACCCCAUAGUAAUUAUGUAAGGCAUCUUAUAUAAUUUAAAGCUUUGGUGGAUACGGAUUGGCUCGCGUGACAUUAGCUAGAUGGUAAGGUAACGGCUUACCAUGGCUACGAUGUCUAGGGGUUCUGAGAGGAAGGUCCCCCACACUGGAACUGAGACACGGUCCAGACUCCUACGGGAGGCAGCAGUGAGGAAUAUUGGACAAUGGAUGGAAAUCUGAUCCAGCCAUGCCGCGUGCAAGGAAGACGGCCCUAUGGGUUGUAAACUGCUUUUGUAUGGGAGCAAUAAGGGCUACGCGUAGUCCGAUGAGAGUACCAUACGAAUAAGCACCGGCUAACUCCGUGCCAGCCGCCGC